rfam:Dipodomys ordii contig_37227, whole genome shotgun sequence.
GGUGGCUCAGUGGUAGAGCACUUGCCUUGGAUGCCUGAGGCUCUGGGUUCAAUUCCUCAGCACCA